rnacentral:rRNA from 1 species
UACGGGGGGGGCAAGCGUUGUUCGGAAUUACUGGGCGUAAAGGGCUCGUAGGCGGCCAACUAAGUCAGACGUGAAAUCCCUCGGCUUAACCGGGGAACUGCGUCUGAUACUGGAUGGCUUGAAUCCGGGAGAGGGAUGCGGAAUUCCAGGUGUAGCGGUGAAAUGCGUAGAUAUCUGGAGGAACACCGGUGGCGAAGGCGGCAUCCUGGACCGACAUUGACGCUGAACGGCGAAAGCUAGGGGAGCAAACGGG